GAAACGACACUAACAAUCCUUCGGGUGCGUUAAUGGGCGUCGAGCGGCGGACGGGUGAGUAAUGCUUAGGAAUCUGCCCAGUAGUGGGGGAUAGCCCGGGGAAACUCGGAUUAAUACCGCAUACGCCCUUUUGGGGAAAGCAGGGGAUCUUCGGACCUUGCGCUAUUGGAUGAGCCUAAGUCGGAUUAGCUAGUUGGUGGGGUAAAGGCUCACCAAGGCGACGAUCCGUAGCUGGUCUGAGAGGAUGAUC
rnacentral:rRNA from 1 species